CCAGACUUCCUUCCGGGGCGGGACUUCCUGGUCAUUAUUGAUAGAUGCCGGACAGCAGAGCUGGUGGGAGGAGCACGCAGAAGGCUCCGCCCCCAGCGUCCCGUGGCCAUGACGACCGCCCAGCGGGACUCCCUAGUGUGGAGGCUCGCGGGGCUGCUGCGUGAUUCCGGUGACGUGGUCUUGUCCGGCUGUUCCACCCUGAGCUUGUUGACCGCCACCCUGCAACAGCUGAACCAUGUAUUCGAGCUGCAUCUGGGGCCAUGGGGCCCUGGCCAGACAGGCUUUGUGGCUCUGCCCUCUCACCCCGCCGACUCCCCUGUCAUCCUCCAGCUUCAGUUCCUCUUUGAUGUGCUGCAGAAAACUCUUUCCCUUAAGCUGGUCCACAUCCCUGGUUCUUCCCUCCCUGGGCCCAUCAAGAUUUUUCCCUUCAAGUCCCUUCGGCAGCUGGAGCUCCGAGGUGUUCCUCUUCAUUGCCUCCGUGGCCUCUGUGGCAUCUACUCCCAGCUAGAGACCCUGAUUUGCAGCAGGAGCAUCCAGGCCCUGGAGGAGCUCCUCUCCGCCUGCGGUGGUGACCUGUGCUCUGCCCUGCCCUGGUUGGCUCUGCUGUCUGCCAACUUCAGCUACAAUGCACUGACUUCCUUAGACAGCUCCCUGCGUCUCUUGUCAGCUCUGCGCUUCCUGAAUCUGAGCCACAAUCAAGUCCAGGACUGCGAGGGCUUCCUGAUGGACUUGUCUGAGCUCUACCACCUGGACAUCUCCUAUAACCACCUGCAUUUGGUGCCAAGAAUGGGACCCUCGAGUGCUGCCCUGGGGACCCUGAUACUGCGAGGCAAUGAGCUCCGGAGCCUGCAGGGCCUGGAGCAGCUGAGGAGCUUGCGGCACCUGGAUGUGGCGUACAACCUUCUGGAAGGCCACAGGGAGCUGACGCCUCUGUGGCUGCUGGCUGAGCUCCGCAAGCUCUACCUGGAGGGGAACCCUCUGUGGUUCCACCCCGCGCAUCGAGCAGCCACUGCCCAGUACUUGUCACCCCGCGCCAGGGAUGCUGCGGCCGGCUUCCUUCUUGAUGGGAAAGUCUUGUCAUUGACUGACUUGCAGACCUCUACCUCUUCGGGGCUUGGCUCCUCUGCCCCACCUGUGCCCUGGUCAGCGGGGAGUACUGUUGAAACCUCAGGUGGCCCUGACUUGAGUGACAGCAUCUCCUCAGGGGGUGUGGUAGCCCAGCAUCUGCCCCGGAAGGUUAAGAGCCGAGUCCGUGUGAGGCGAGCAAGCAUCUCGGAACCCAGUGAUACCGACCCAGAGCCCCGGACUCUGGACCCCUCCCCGGCUGGGCGGUUUGUGCAGCAGCAUCGGGAACUCGAACUCAUGAACAGUUUCCGGGAACGGUUUGGCUGUGACUGGCUGCAGUAUAGGAAUCACCUGGAGACCUCCGGUACCCCUGUUCUGGCUACCCCCAGCACUCCUGCCCUCAGCACACUGCCCCUGAGCCCAGGGUCUGUGCCUGGCCCUCCGCCCCCAGAGGAGUCACCGCAGGGAAUGGCAGAAGUCAGUUUCCUGCCGGAGCCCCGGGAGGAAGAAGAGGUGGAGGAGCAGGAAAAAGAGGAAGAAGGAGAGGAGGAAGAGGAGGAGCAGGAGGAGGGCGAAGUGGAAGCCGAACUAUGUCGCCCCAUGUUGGUGUGUCCCCUGGAGGGGCCCCAGGGCGUGCGCGGUAGGGAGUGCUUUCUCCGGGUCACUUCCGGCCACCUGUUCGAGGUGGAGCUCCAAGCUGCUCGGACCCUGGCUCGGCUGGAGCUCCAGAGCCUAGAGGCAGCUGAGGUGGAGCCCGAGAGUGAGGCAGCACUCGAGGGCUCAGAUCCGCUCCCCAGGGCCCCUGUCCUUGCUCUGCGUUUCUCCUACAUUUGCCGUGACCGGCAGCUGCGUCGCUAUGUGGUGCUAGAGCCCGAUGCCCAUGCAGCUCUCCAGGAGCUGCUUGCUGUGCUGACCCCAGCAGCCACUGCGGCUCAGCGUGAGCUUGAGGAAGUGAGAGACCUGCUGGGGGGCAGACUCCAGUGUCUGCGCUGUGGCCAUGAGUUCAAGCCAGAGGAGCCCAGGUUGUUAGACAGUGAGGAAGGCUGGAGGCCUCUGUUCCAAAAGACAGAAUCCCCUGCCGUGUGUCCAAACUGUGGUAGUGAUCAUGUGGUUCUCCUGGCUCGGUCCCUGGGAACCAGUGACAGGGAGCACAGACAAGACGAACGAUCACCAGCUACCUUGCAGACGGCCAGCCCUGUCUGUGACUCUCCUGACCACAGUGACCACAGCAGCAGGGCUGACGGGACCCCGUCGCAAGCGCCGGUCUCCGGGGAGCGCCACAGUUGGAGCCUCAGUCCCCCCCCUGAGCGCCGUGGCCUCCGCUCUGUGGACCACCGACUCCGGCUCUUCCUAGAUGUUGAGGUGUUCGCCGAUGCCCAGGAGGAGUUCCAGUGCUGCCUCAAGGUGCCACUGGUGUUGGCAGGCCACGCUGGGGAGUCUGUGUGUCUUGUGGUGGUGUCUGACCUCAGGCUCUAUGUGUUGAAGGUGACUGGGGAGAUAUGCGGGCCUCCAGCUAGCUGGCUGCAGCCAGCCCUGGCCGUUCCCCUGCACGACCUGAGCGGCAUCGAGCUGGGGCUGGCAGGACAGAGUCUGCGGCUGGAGUGGGCUGCUGGGGCAGGUAGCUGUGUCCUGCUGCCCCGAGAUGCCAAGCGUUGCCGGGCCUUUCUAGAUGAACUCACUGAUGUCUUACAGGCUCUGCCCCCUAGCUGGAGGAGCAGUGUCCGUGCCACGGAGGAGGAGGUGACCCCGAAGCACCGCCUCUGGCCGUUGCUGGAGAGAGACCCUUCCUCGGAGCCUCCCCUGUUCUUCUACCUUCGGGUGUUCCUGGUGGAAGGCCCUGCCACCUGCCCAGUGUCCCUGUUGAUGACUCUGUCCACCCUGUACUUGUUAGAAGAAGACCUUGCAGGCUCCCUGGUGGAGCCCGCUCUUCCAGCAGCAUCUGGUGAAGCCUCUGAGACAUCCCUGCCCUUGGGUCCGGGCCCCUCUGUGCGUGUCAGGGAGCAGUGGCCCCUCAGCAGCUUGAGCUCUGUGCUGCUCUAUCGCAGUGCCCCAGGGGACCUGCGGCUGGUCUUCUACGAUGAGGUGUCCCGGCUGGAGAGUUUUUGGGCCCUUCGUGUUGUGUGUCCAGAGCAGCUGACGGCCCUGCUGGCCUGGAUCCGGGAGCCCUGGGAGGAGCUGUUUUCCAUCGGACUCCGGACAGUGACCCAAGAGACUCUGGAUCUCGAUCGGUGAAGCUUCCCUGCCAAGCCCGCCCCGGCCUUGGAGCCAUGGCUGCUGAAGCUCUCUGUCCCGAGUCUGGCUGCCAACUUCUCCAGCCGUGGGCGCUCGUCAGUGAGGCCCCAGAUGGCCCACGGCUCAAGACGCGAUGCCAUGGGGAGUGUUUCCGUGUGUCACUCAGGUGGUCUGCUCUUCUCCGCUUCUCACAGAAACCGCCCUACCCACCGCUCUCCCUCAGUGGAUAGCCCAAGCCUUGUCAGUCCCGUGAGCCCGUGAGCCCCCUCUGCCCCAGGCGAUGGGAGCAAGUGGGAUCCCUGAACCGUGGGCGCCAGGCCUCAGCCAGCCCUGCCUGUUACGGGGACCUGACGUGGGAAUCACUGCGGAACAAACGGCUGGGCCAGCUGGGUUCUCGCUUUCUCAUUCCAGCGGGGCCCUAGUGAGGAUCUCUGCCGCUGGCAGUGGGCGCUCAGUAUGGGGGGCAGUCUGCGGAGUAGGUAUGUGGACUUGGGGCUGUGGAGGGAGUAGUUGCCUCCUCUCAGCCCUGCCUCGUGCAUCCCAGAGGCCUGGUCGGGUAGACCCCAUGCUGUCACCUCUUUCGCUGUUGCCACAGUGAUCCAUUCAGGGGUUGUCACGUGACUCAAUUUGGUUGCUGGAGCACCCAAGAGAGAGGUAUACUUUCCCUGUGAGGGGUGCUGAGAGGGUGAGCCCAGAGCUGCCAGCCUUCUGAGAGCGGAGCCAUGCAGGGAGAGGCAGAGCCGAGAUCGGGGCACACAGGCCAGGUCCUGGAGGUGUGCUUGGAGUUCUUGGAUCCAGCUGUGCCUGCAGGCAGGUGCCCCUGGGACUUCGGGUUAUAUGAACUAAAGGAGACCCCCCCUCCUGUUUCUCUUCCUUCUCUCUCUUUUGUUGGCCUAGGCUAAUUAAAUCAAAUAAUGCGCCACAGAAAGGGUCCUAACUGCAUAAAUCCCCACUCUGACGUGAGCUGGCCUGACUUGGGGUUUCAUUUUUGCUCUUGAAAAUGAAUGUAGCAGGAGUGGUGUCCACAUGUUUGUGUAGAGAGGCCCUGAGAGGAAGGCUUGGGCAAGGAGCCUUGGAGGCUCGUCAGGCCACCCUUGUAUGCGGAGGGUGGGCUCUGUUCGAGUCUGCUGGGUGGUUUUGGAGAGGCUCUUCUCUACUGAGCACUUAAUACGGAGGCCGCUGAGCCAGGUGCCUCGUGAUGGUCUCUGCUACUUAUGGGGGAUCCUGGGAAAGGGUGACAUCUUGUUACAGGAAAUAGGCGUAGAGGAGUUAAACAACGCGUUCAAGGUCACAUCAGUGAAGGGAGGAGCCCUGCUGUGUCCAGGCUCAUGUGACUUCACAGCCAGGGCAGUCUACAAACCACGGAGCCUUCCUGCCUCCCCUCUGCUCUCUAGGCCCAGCCCCACUCACAGAGAGGGAGCCUGGCCCACUCAGCCCUGCACAAUCCUCCACUUGUCCAGGACGGGCAAGCCGGGUGGACUGUACAUAUCUGAAGCAGUGAGAUCUUAGGUUACAUAUUCAUUCAUGGGUGAUUUUCACCCCUUCCUGCUGAACUGUAGAGAAAAAGAUGCCAACCUUCAGGCGUUAAGUUGGAGAGCCAAGCAGUAGGAAGAGGUUUGAAAGGGACCACAGAAGGAUACCAAGAGCUCUGCAAUGGGAGAGAGGGGAGAGUUUUUAGAGAAGGGCAUUAGGAGCAGUGUAGGAACAAUUCCCCUUUACACUGGGGCUCUCAGGGUGGAGGGGCCCUGGGCCUAGCUCCGUGUUGGGAAUUACAGAGGACAGCGACCUGUCAGGUGCUCCCUACGCCACCAGAGCAUAUGGAGGCAGCAUUUUGGAGGCACUUGGCAGGUUAGUUGCCAGAUUUCUCCUGAAUGGAGAAGGGAGGGGGUCCAGAGGAUCCUGUGGGUGACUGGGGUGCAGGGAAGUCAGGGGAGAGCAGGCAGAGAGCUUGCCAGCCGGUUGUUGCAGGAACGCAGCAGGAGGAGGGUGUAAGCCCAGCCCCCAAAUGGGGAUGUGAGCAAGUUAGACUGGAAUGGAUGGAAUUGAAAUCACCGAUGAGGCUGAGUUGACUUAAAUGAUAUUGGAUCAACUUCUCUGUUGGUUGGAAAUGAGGGCUCCGUUACAAAGAUAAAGUUACCAAGAAAAAGGUCAUUUUUGCAUACCUGAGUUUAGAGGACUGCCCUAUCUCUGAGAUUUCUAUUACCAUUGCAAGGUCAACAUAGGAGGGUCUGGAAGGUGUGGACCUAGAGAGCAGGAGAGGGUAUGGUUUCUUUAUGGUGGACUGGGGGUUGCUCCUUUCUCCCCCACUAGAAGGCCUUUGACUUCGGGUUCAUGGGGAGGGAUGUGCUCUGAAAACUUGGUCAGGCCUCACUGAACGCUGUUUUGGGGAAGUCCAAGGUGGAGCCUGGGGUUGGGGUGUUUUGUAGGCUAGAGAAGACUGGGUUGGGCUCCUGGGGCCCAAUUCCACCCUUGACCCAGCCAGCCCUGUGCAAACCCUGGGGCCCCAGAAGACGGAAUUGUUGGGGAACUAAUCAGUGCACCAGAGGACACUCAGCCUCCUGCCCUGCAAGAGCAAAAGUACAGUGGAGAAGCCCCUGGGCCCUGAGGAGGGGAAGGAAAUGUGGGACCCUAGGAGGUAGAAGCCUUCGAUGUUGGUUAGAGCUCACUCCUUAGUUCUGCUUACCCUCCCUCCCUCCCUCCCUCUCUCCCUCCCCCCCCUUUCAGGCCUUCCUUUUGAUUUUAUUUGAGAGAAAGAAUGAGUGCAUGACUUGGGGGAGGGGCAGAAGGAGAGGGACACGCAGACUCCAUGCUAAGUGGGGAGCCCGCUGUGGGGCUCAAUCCCAGGACCCUGAACAUGACCUGAGCAAGAAAUCAGACGCUUAACCGACUGGACCGCCUAGGAGCCCCCAUGGCUGCCUUCUCUGCGGGUCAGCAUUGUUCCUGUCUUGAAACAUGUUCGUUACAUAUUCAUAAGUAUACGAAAUGGGUGAGUUUAUUUAUCCCUUCAGUUGACAGAGAUUAAUAGGACACAGGUCCUACUGCAGAGCCCAUUAGAGCAUAUGUCAGGGCAGGAGGCUCAUCAACCACUCCCAGGAGAGCAACUACCUUCUCUGGGUCAGGACUGCUGAGAGGGGACGGUGAGGGCAGCCCUGAAAGCUCCCUGGAAGAUUUAUAGAGGCACACCUCUAGGUAACGAGGACAGUAAUGACCCAAUAGCUAUGGCUCAGUGAGCCCUUCUUAGGGCCCGUGCGUUGUUUAAAGCCUCUCAUUUCCCCAGGUGUUUGUUAUAGUGUUUUGGUCACAAGACCUAGAGCUUAAGGAAAGAGUUUAAGGAAAGAGCCCUGUGUAUGGAAAUGACCCAGACCCGGAAGGCUGGUGCUGAGGCCCCAGAGACAAAGCUUCUCCCACGUCGUGGAACCAGAUGGUCUCUCUUUCUCUUUUCCCCUCCCGCAGCAGGACCCUGGUCUGGUUGAAGCAGUGUGCGUCUUGGAACCGGCCAGGCGGGAAAUGCUGGCUAGGGUGGCCGGCCCUCGGUGACAGGCCCGCACGGAGGUGGAGGUGGCUCAGAAAGGACAGUGCGGAGGUUCGGAAAACAAGUUCACCUACUUCUGUUUGCUCAGAGCUGGCCUGAAUUUCUAACUGAAGCAAAUUAAAACUUCCCAAAAAUAUGAGUUCACUUUCUUGGCGGUGCGCACACCCCCUUCCCCAACAGCAUUUUUGCGCUGUCUGGAGGCUAGCCAGGACUGGCCCCGAGAGAGCCCUUCUCCAGCCCCUGGCCCAGAGCUCCCUUUCAGAUGGGUCCGGCCCAUUUACAAGCGCUUCCCCAGAAGUCCUGGCAGGUCAUGGGCCGGAUGGGGCAGAGUCAUCUGCAGGGUUUCUAGGAUGAUCCACCAAGCGGGUGUGAGGCCGAAGCAACCGAAGAGGAGUAUCCUCCCAUUUCUUUGUGCUUAAAUUCUCUGCAUGGGACUUUGUUUUAACAGAGCAGCAAAGUCCUCUGCCCCCUUCAUCCUGGGGGUGCUGUGUCUUUGGCGACCCACGAGACAGGUGCUGGUAUUGGCCACCAAGGAAGCUGCCAAGGGUGAGGCCACUGCUGCCCCUGGAGGUGUCUGGCGCCUCCUCAGGCACCAGGAUGCGCCUGUUUCCGACACCUGCCACACCGAGCGGACGGGACCACCUUACUACUGAUGCCCGUGCACAGAUGUCUGUCCGCAAGCACUUGCUUCUCACACCGCGGACUGGCCCCAGAGAUCGACUUGUCCCUUCAGUCUGGCCUUUUCCUCCCCUAACAAGUGCUUAUUGAUUGGCUCUCCAGCCUUGGGCUUGCUGGCAGUGGUGGCCUGAGGCAGUGGAGAGAAAGAUUCACUCCCUAAAACUGUCCAUAAUGGCACUCUGCCACUUUUUCUGUAGAAAUAAGGCAGGUUGGGAUAUAUUCUCGUUAGCUUCUAUUAGUAUAAAUGAAUUCCAGAGAGACAAAUAAAUUGAUGGUGGGAAUGAAGAUAAGAACGGGCAGAAGGGGUCAGGGAUGGUAUCGAGGUUCUGUUACUUUUUGUUUUAAAAAUAUUUUUAAACUCCCAGAAUGUAUUUUGGUUCAAAAGUAAUAUUUAAGGGGCACCAGGGUGGCUCAGUUGGUUUACCUUCGGCUCCAGUCAUGAUCCCAGGGUUCUGGGAUCGAGCCCCACAUCGCACUUCCUGCUCAGCAGGAAGCCUGCUUCUCCCUCCGUCACUGCUCCUGCUUGUGUUCCCUGUCUUGUGGUCUGUCAAAUAAGUAAAAUCUUUAAAAAAAAGAGUAACAUUUAAAAAUUCAGAUGAGGCCCUAGGGUGUUCAGUGGCCAAAAGUGGAUGAUCUAUUUUGAAUUUA